UCCUGCGUGCUCCCCCUCCUCUAAGGGGUUUGAGUGCACAGUGGCCGAACAGAUGAGCCACAUUCGGUCACACGUCUCUGAGGGGGGUCAGGGAACUCUCCCAUUUCAGGAUUAUAGGCGUUAGCCACUGCACCAGGCCAGGAGACAACUUUCAAAAAAAUCAAAUUUAAGUUUCUUUAGUUGGAGGCUGUGCACUCCAAUUAGCCCUAGAUGGGUGACAGCUCAGACCAUCUUUCCCAACUUUAUACAUUUCUCUCUCCAGGCUAAGUUACAUUUCAAGCCUCUUCUAGCUCAGCAUGGCCUCUUCUCCAUUUGCUAUGCUCUGGCUCAGCAGAUUCUUAAUCUAUGGCACCAGGCCUGUCAAGAGACCUGCAUUUGAUUCCCAACUUUUAGCCAGGAAACACUGGGAACACCACAUCUGAGUGUGUUGCUGCUGCUGGCUUGGGUGGCCAGGUUUUAUUCCCUCAUUUGGCCCUGCCCACAUCCUGCUGAUUGGUCCAUUUUACAGAGUGCUGAUUGGUCCAUUUUAGAGUGCUGAUUAGUCCAUUUACAAUCCUUUAGCUAGACACAGAACACUGAUUGGUGAAUUUACAAUCCUCUAGCUAGAGAGAAAAGUUCUCUAAGUCCCCACUCCACCCAGGAAGUACAGCUGGCUUCAUCUCUCAGUGUUAUUGAUGGAAGCGCUUAGAGCUCCCUGCUUUCUGUGUGGAGCUGGUCUAGGCCUGGACCAUCCUUGGGGCACUCAUUUAAUUAAGCGAGGCUCAGAGGUCUGGACUGAUGGGUCACCCUGAUUCAAAGAGUAUUUCUUCAGUAAACAGGGUCUAGGGGAAACCACAUAGUCUGGGGGCUAGGGCCCCGUUUGGCAGGUCCAGGGAUUGAGCAAGAAUGAGCAGAGAAAGGAGACGGGGCUGUGUCUUGAGUCUAUAGGCUGGGUCACUGGAGGUAUGGUAGGAUCUCUAGAGCUGCCUCUAAUGACAGCGGAGUCUCUUCAAGAAACUUUUGAAAGGGACCAAAUUCUUUUUCUGAUUACCUUUCUAGCUUCUCUGGCUGAGCCCCUAUGCAUUGGAUUGACAUAGACAGAUUAACAAAAGAAAACAAUCAGAAUUUUAUUAGUAUGUGCACUGCAAUUACAUGCGGGAACACUCAGAGAUGAAUAAACUCAAAGGUUUGGUUGGAACAUGGGCUUAUAGCAUUUUAGCAAAGGA
rnacentral:lncRNA from 10 species